AUUGAACGCUGGCGGCAGGCCUAACACAUGCAAGUCGAACGAGUGGCGGACGGGUGAGUAAUGUCUGAGAAACUGCCUGGUGGAGGGGGAUCACUACGGGAAACGGUAGCUAAUACCACAAACCCUCGGAUGUGCCCAGAUGGGAUUAGCUAGUAGGUGGGGUAAAGGCUCCCCUAGGCGACGCUCCCUAGCUGGUCUGAGAGGAUGACCAGCCACACUGGAACUGAGCCACGGUCCAGACUCCUACGGGAGGCAGCAGUGGGGAAUAUUGCACAAUGGGCGCAAGCCUGAUACAGCCAUGCCGCGUGUAUGAAGAAGGCCUUCGGGUUGUAAAGUACUUUCAGCGGGGAGGCGUUACCCGCAGAAGAAGCACCGGCUAACUCCGUGCCAGCAGCCGCGGUAAUAC
rnacentral:rRNA from 1 species